GUCCUAGCCGUAAACGAUGGAUGCUGGCUCUGGGGGCUAUAGAUCCCCUCCGUGCCGAAGCUAACGCGUUAAGCAUCCCGCCUGGGGAUUACGGCCGCAAGGCUUAAACUCAAACGAAUUGACGGGGGCCCGCACAAGCAGCGGAGCGUGUGGUUUAAUUCGAUGCUACACGAAGAACCUUACCUGGGCUUGACAUGUAGGUAGUAGUGAAGCGAAAGCGGAACGACCCUUCGGGGAGCCUACACAGGUGCUGCAUGGCUGUCGUCAGUUCGUGCCGUGAGGUGUCGGGUUAAGUCCCGUAACGAACGCAACCCUUGCCCUUAGUUACAUGUGUCUAAGGGGACUGCCCGGGACAACUGGGAGGAAGGUGGGGAUGACGUCAAGUCAGCAUGGCCUUUAUGUCCAGGGCUACACACACGCUACAAUGGCCGGUACAAUGGGUCGCCAAGCCGUGAGGCGGAGCCAAUCCCCCAAAGCCGGUCUAAGUUCGGAUUGUGGGCUGCAACUCGCCCAUAUGAAGCUGGAGUUGCUAGUAACCGCGCGUCAGCAAUAGUGCGGUGAUACGUUCCCGGGCAUUGUACACACCGCCCGUCACGUCAUGGAAGCUGCAACACCUGAAGCCAGUGAGCAUAACCCGCAAGGGGGCAGCUGUCGAAG
rnacentral:rRNA from 1 species